UACGGGGGGGGCAAGCGUUGUUCGGAAUUACUGGGCGUAAAGGGCGCGUAGGCGGCCACCGCAAGUCAGUUGUGAAAUCUCUGGGCUUAACCCAGAACGGUCAGCUGAUACUGCGGGGCUAGAGUGCAGAAGGGGCAACUGGAAUUCUCGGUGUAGCGGUGAAAUGCGUAGAUAUCGAGAGGAACACCUGCGGCGAAGGCGGGUUGCUGGGCUGACACUGACGCUGACAGCGCGAAAGCUAGGGGAGCGAACGGG
rnacentral:rRNA from 1 species